rnacentral:lncRNA from 1 species
UUCAUUGAGAAGAUCAAGAUUCUAGCUUGGUAUUGGAGUAUGAGUAAGUUAAAAAUCGGCUCGUGUUUGUAUUAUGAGUGGAGUUGGAACCCUCGGGAGUGCUUACUUAGAUAGUUUUUCCGGUGUUUUUUACCUUUGGAGCUGUUAUUAUAAGACUGUUGUGUUGUCUUUCAGUGCUGCUGUUUUUUCUGUUUUUGGCUGCGUUAUGCUCCUGACAGUUUUGCUAGUGGUGCGGUCUGUGUUGCGGCUGGGCAGCAGGGCUAGUGUGGCUGUUUUAGACUGGUGUUGGUUUCUUGUUUAUAAAAUUUGGGAAAAUGAUGGGUAGACAUCUUUUUCUUGUACACACUUUUGUACCACUUGCAUAUGUGGCAUUUAAAUUAAAAAAAAAAUCUAACCCUCUCUCCUCAAAUCCUCGUUCCCAAAUCUCUCUUUCUCACUGUACAAAAAAAAAAAAAAAAAAACUCUCACAUCUCCAACUAUUUUUCUUCUCCGUUCAUUCCUCCCCUCCGCCUCGUCGCCGCCGUUAGACUCUCCCUCUCUCUAUCCCUUUCUUCUCCGGCCAUCCCUGGUGUCAAAUCCGUGGUGGUGGUUGUUAGAUCGACGAAAAUGGUGGUGGUGAGAUUUGUGGGUGAGGAAGUCGACGGUGGUUGUGAGAUCUAGGGACGAUGGUUGUGAGAUUUAAGUCGACGGUGGUUGUGGGUAACGACUGUGGUGGACAUACGGGGUUGAAGUCGAACGAAGGUUGUUAGAUCUGACGGCGAAGGUUGUUAGAUCUGACGGCGACUGUGGUGCCUGUGAAUUUUGAGGGUGAUGACGUCGACGGUGGUGGUGAGUUUUGAGAUUGAAGGCGGCGGACGAAGGUUGCCGGUGGUGGUUCCGGUGAGGGAGAAGAAAGUGAGGUCUUAAGAAGAAAGAGUGUGAGAGUUGCUGAAUUUGUUGGACAAAUUUAACCCUUCUUUUUUGUGAAUGGACAAAAUUGCCCCUGCAAUAUGGGGUGUACAAGAAUGGUAUGCCACAUGGGGUGGUUUAUCUAUCACCACUCUAAAAUUUGUUCUAGAAAUUGUCAACACAAAUAUCAAAAGACAAACACAACAUUCAAGUAUUCAACAGAAAUGGAAUUUUUUAAUUGCUCAAUGACUUUUUCUCCGGCAAAUUCACAUCUCCAUUUGACCAGUCAGAGGGUACACCUAGGCAGCUCCUUUAUUAGUCUCUCCACGUGCAAUUGUGAAUGGAUCUUAAGCCAAUGACUUCUAUCUCACCCCCAAGGUUUUCAAAAUCAACCCCAUAAAGGAUUGUCAACAAACAAAUCUUAUUAUAGUCCAGAGGAUGAAAGAGUCCUUCAGUUUUAGAAAACUUUAUUGAAAUAAUCAACAACCAAGCUAAACCUUUUUUUUUUUACAAACCUAGCCAUGACAUUGACACUAAUGCUUUGUUUGCGAGUUUCGAAGGGAAGGAAGGGGAGGUGUUUGGAAAAAAAGGAAGGAACAAAUAGAAGAAUAGAUGACAUUGAGAGGGAAAGGUUUUGAGUUCAUUUUUCUUAUAAUACAAAAUCCUCC